rnacentral:rRNA from 1 species
AAUCAACGCUGGCGGCGUGCCUCAGACAUGCAAGUCGAACGCGAAAGCUCCCUUCGGGGAGCAAGUAGAGUGGCGCACGGGUGAGUAACACGUAGGUAAUCUACCUUUGGAUGGGGAAUAACAACCGGAAACGGUUGCUAAUACCGCAUAAUGCAGCGGCACCUAAUGGUGACAGUUGUUAAAGCGGGGGAUCGCAAGACCUCGCGUCUGAAGAGGAGCCUGCGGCAGAUUAGCUAGUUGGUGAGGUAACGGCUUACCAAGGCGAUGAUCUGUAGCCGGCCUGAGAGGGCGGUCGGCCACACUGACACUGACAUACGGGUCAGACUCCUACGGGAGGCAGCAGUCGGGAAUUUUGGGCAAUGGGCGAAAGCCUGACCCAGCAACGCCGCGUGAAGGAUGAAAUCCCUCGGGAUGUAAACUUCGCAAGAACGGGAAGAAUAAGUCGGUGUAAACACCACCGACGAUGACGGUACUGUUUGUAAGCUCCGGCUAACUCCGUGCC